rnacentral:rRNA from 1 species
UAGGGAAUCUUCGGCAAUGGGGGGAACCCUGACCGAGCAACGCCGCGUGAGUGAAGAAGGUUUUCGGAUCGUAAAGCUCUGUUGUUAAGGAAGAACGAGUGUGAGAAUGGAAAGUUCAUACUGUGACGGUACUUAACCAGAAAGGGACGGCUAACUACGUGCCAGCAGCCGCGGUAAUACGUAGGUCCCGAGCGUUGUCCGGAUUUAUUGGGCGUAAAGCGAGCGCAGGCGGUUAGAUAAGUCUGAAGUUAAAGGCAGUGGCUCAACCAUUGUAGGCUUUGGAAACUGUUUAACUGGAGUGCAGAAGGGGAGAGUGGAAUUCCAUGUGUAGCGGUGAAAUGCGUAGAUAUAUGGAGGAACACCGGUGGCGAAAGCGGCUCUCUGGUCUGUAACUGACGCUGAGGCUAGAAAGCGUGGGGAGCGAACAGG